GUGAGCUUAGUUUAGUGUGUGUUAAAAUGUUUGAUUGCAAGUCAAAUGAAAAGGUUGCUUAGUUUAUU
rnacentral:tRNA from 1 species